GUGUACGUGUGGUACGGAGUGCGUAAAGACACAGGCCACCCUGCUAAAUCUCCAGUCGGUAUAAAACAUCAACCUAAAAUCAAAAUUUUAAAAUGUUAAAUUUUAAAUUAUAAUCGAAGCACAGAGAAUCGAUUUGUUCGCAGCUCUAAUGACCAGCAGUCCGAACAAUCGAUAGGUCCCAACUCCCAUCUCUAUCAAAAAUCAAGGACGAGAAAUAUUUGCACAUAUAAAAUCGAAAACUGGACGAAAUUGUUGGCUUUGGUGUUAUUGCCACAGCGCACCCACCAAGGAUGAGAACAGACGUGCUAUGUAUGACUAAACAAAUUCCAUUCUUUGAUAAAUUUCGCGACCCAAUUUAAGAAUUACAGGACAACACGCGGCAAAUGUUGAAUUUUGGAUUAAAAAUCCAGAUUUGUUUUACAUUGAAUAGAACGGAUGGAAAACGUGCUUUUGGUCGAUGCGGCAAAAGUACGGAAGAAACUGCUACUUCAAAAACCAUCAAGAGACCGCAGGGAACCAUAUGCUCCGGCUGUAGUGCAGCCUUU